rnacentral:rRNA from 1 species
UACGUAGGGAGCAAGCGUUGUCCGGAUUUAUUGGGCGUAAAGAGCUCGUAGGCGGCUUAGAAAGUCAGGUGUGAAAACUCUGGGCUCAACCCAGAGACGCCACUUGAUACUUCUAUGGCUUGAGUUCGGUAGGGGACCAUGGAAUUCCUGGUGUGGCGGUGAAAUGCGCAGAUAUCAGGAGGAACACCGAUGGCGAAGGCAGUGGUCUGGGCCGAUACUGACGCUGAGGAGCGAAAGCGUGGGGAGCGAACAGG